rnacentral:misc_RNA from 1 species
AAGUCGUAACAAGGUUUCCGUAGGUGAACCUGCGGAAGGAUCAUUAACACGUAUCCAACGUUAAAACCCCCCUGUGAACCUUCAUUCCUGCUCCGAAAACUUUUCACACAGCACUGUUGGAGAGCGUACGUUGACGUCGGUUGAGAUAGAGGCAUGGCUUCCCGAAGCAGUCAUCAAAUGAAAGUGUUGAUGGCUGUAGACGGAUAACUUCACGGUCGCUGGAGGCCCACACGGUCGGCGGACAUGCCUUAAGGGCGAAAGCCCCCUAAUCACCCCACUACCCUACUUCACCUGCCGCCAAAACCGCAGGUGCAAAACGAACAACUGUUAACAAUGGAUAUCUUGGUUCUC